rnacentral:lncRNA from 1 species
CCUCGCCAGGAUCCGCGAACUGGUGCGCCUCCUCUCUUGCCGGGAGUGAGCCCUAGCGCCCGGCGGAGCAUGAAAGCGACCCCCAGCGCGGGAUAAAUGCUCUUCACCCAGCGCAGGGCCCGGGACACGGCCGUGCGCACCGCUCCGAGGGAGCGCCGGGGGCGGCGGUAGGGAGAACACGCCAGGGAGAGGGGCGUGUUCCCUGAACCUCGGAGCACUAAGGCCGUAUCCACGGGACCGGGACACCGGGGAGCCAAGCGCUAGGAUUAGUCAAAAACAUCCUUGCAAAGACUGUAAAGCUGGCUUUCUAUGUCAUGAGAAAAGUCAGAAGACAGCUAAGGCAAGAAGGAAGAAAGAAGGACAUACCUAUUCAGGAAACUGAGGUGGAGAAAAGAUUGAAGAUGGCAGAGUAAAGAUUUGAACUCAGCUUCCACUCUCACCAAUUUGCCACCUAACAGUGAUGCUCCA